rnacentral:miRNA from 1 species
UGGGUUGGCCAAAAUGUUUGUUUGGGUUUUUCUGUAUCAUCUUAUGAAAAAUCCAAAUGAACUUUUUGGCCAAUCCA